rnacentral:rRNA from 1 species
AUUGAACGCUGGCGGCAGGCCUAACACAUGCAAGUCGAGCGGAGCGGCGGACGCGUGAGUAAUGCCUAGGACUCUGCCUGGUACUGGGGGAUAACGUCCGGAAACGGGCGCUAAUACCGCAUACUAUCAGAUGAGCCUUGGUCGGAUUCGCUAGUUGGUGGGGUAAAGGCAUACCAAGGCGACGAUCCGUACCUGGUCUGAGAGGAAGAUCAGUCAAACGGGAACUGAGACACGGUCCAGACUCCUACGGGAGGAAGCAGUGGGGAAUAUUGGACAAUGGGCGAAAGCCUGAUCCAGCCAUGCCGCGUGUGUGAAGAAGGUCUUCGGAUUGUAAAGCACUUUAAGUUGGGAGGCGUUACCAACAGAAUAAGCACCGGCUAACUCCGUGCCAGCAGCCGCGGUAAUAC